rnacentral:lncRNA from 1 species
GAGGCUCCUUAAUUUUUGGCAUGUUUCAAAAUAACAAUGUAAGGCAACGAUGGAUCACGGGUGCUGAAUCCAGCUAAAAACUCUUCGACAUAUACUCCCAAAAGAGUAUAGGUAAUGUUGUUGAUGUUGUAACAAAAGAUAUAAACCAGUAAUGUUAAAUGACGAAAAAGCAUAUAAGAAAGGUGUAUGUGAUAGAAAGUGAAUGAAUGUACUACUCUUCAUUAGUCAGGGUAAAAGUGGUAGGUAGUUUCUUAGCACCAUAAUGAGUUUUGACAGGAGAAACUCCAUGAACAACUUCUAUGAUGUCUGAAUACAAUACAAAAGUUAAAACAUUAUAAAGUAAGGAUAACUAAUAAAGGUACACAAAAUUUUGAAAAAUCAUUGUAUGAUUGUAAGGGCUAAAAUUAGAUAUGAAAUGACUAAGUCCAUGAACAACUCCAAUGAUGUUUAGAAAUAAUACACAAGUCAAACCCAUAGUAACACAGGAAAACAAACUAAAAUAAAAUAUGAUUACCAAAAGUAAUUUAAAGAUCUUACCAGAUAAUAGAUCAGGACAAUAUUUGUCAUUGUUGAUUUCAAAAAACUUUUGAAGUUAAACUUAUAGAGGGGGAUAUCAGGAAAGUCCUUAGGAGUGACUUUAUAACCUCCAUCACCGCCUACGAAGAAGAGUUUAAAACGAUGAUCACAUGACUUUAGUGUAAAAUUAUUGUCUUGAAUCUUGAAGCUCUACAUAAGAUAUGAAAAUCCUUAUGUCAAAAUAGAUUUUCAAAGUGGGCAAGAUUUCGAUGGGACAACAACUUGUAUCUUGUCUCCCUAUGUACAAAUAAGAAAAAUAAUGUUAGUUUUACAAUCUUCAAUAAAGAAAAUGAAAGAACCAUAUGAUAUGAUUUUUUUAGUUAUGAUGCCUUAUAAGC